rnacentral:rRNA from 1 species
CCUACGGGUGGCAGCAGUGAGGAAUAUUGGUCAAUGGACGAGAGUCUGAACCAGCCAAGUAGCGUGAAGGAUGACUGCCCUAUGGGUUGUAAACUUCUUUUAUAUGGGAAUAAAAUGUUCCACGUGUGGGAUUUUGUAUGUACCAUAUGAAUAAGGAUCGGCUAACUCCGUGCCAGCAGCCGCGGUAAUACGGAGGAUCCGAGCGUUAUCCGGAUUUAUUGGGUUUAAAGGGAGCGUAGGUGGAUUGUUAAGUCAGUUGUGAAAGUUUGCGGCUAAACCGUAAAAGUGCAGUUGAAACGGGCGGUCUUGAGUACAGUAGAGGCGGGCGGAAUGCGUGGUGGAGCGGUGAAAUGCUUAGAUAGCACGAAGAACUCCGAGUGCGAAGGCAGCUCACUGGACUGCAACUGACACUGAGGCUCGAAAGUGGGGGGAUCAAACAGGAUUAGAUACCCCAGUAGUC